rnacentral:rRNA from 1 species
GACGAACGCUGGCGGCGUGCUUAACACAUGCAAGUCGAACGGAAAGGCCCUGCUUUUGUGGGGUGCUCGAGUGGCGAACGGGUGAGUAACACGUGAGUAACCUGCCCUUGACUUUGGGAUAACUUCAGGAAACUGGGGCUAAUACCGGAUAGGAGCUCCUGCUGCAUGGUGGGGGUUGGAAAGUUUCGGCGGUUGGGGAUGGACUCGCGGCUUAUCAGCUUGUUGGUGGGGUAGUGGCUUACCAAGGCUUUGACGGGUAGCCGGCCUGAGAGGGUGACCGGCCACAUUGGGACUGAGAUACGGCCCAGACUCCUACGGGAGGCAGCAGUGGGGAAUAUUGCACAAUGGGCGGAAGCCUGAUGCAGAAACGCCGCGUGCGGGAUGACGGCCUUAGGGUUGUAAACCGCUUUCGCCUGUGACGAAGCGUGAGUGACGGUAAUGGGUAAAGAAGCACCGGCUAACUACGUG